rnacentral:rRNA from 1 species
UACGUAGGGUGCAAGCGUUGUCCGGAAUUAUUGGGCGUAAAGAGCUCGUAGGCGGUUUGUCGCGUCUGCUGUGAAAAUCCAGGGCUUAACCCUGGACCUGCAGUGGGUACGGGCAGACUAGAGUGCGGUAGGGGAGAUCGGAAUUCCUGGUGUAGCGGUGAAAUGCGCAGAUAUCAGGAAGAACACCCGUGGCGAAGGCGGCUCUCUGGGACGGUACUGACGCUGAGACGCGAAAGCGUGGGGAGCGAACAGG